AACUGUGAGGUUUGAUCCAAACUGGGUAAACUUUGAUAUAUGCAUAAGCAGGAAGCUGUUCACCCGGUUCAUGAAUGUGCAUCUGUCAAGAGUUACAGCUGCUCGAUCAAGAGCCUUGAUUCUCGAUGUCACCAUCAAUACCUUGCCAGACUGGUUCAACAAAGUGGCCACUGAAAGAACCGAGAAACUAUACUACAUAGAAUGCAGGGGUCUAGACAACAUUCUUAUGGAAUAUGAUCAAGGAAGCUUAAAUGGCCUCAAGAUCCUCCUUGUCCAGAGUUGCCAUCAGAUAGUACACCUCAUGGAUGCAGUAACAUAUGUUCCAAACAGACCUUUGUUCCCUAGCUUGGAAGAGCUGCGUGUUCACAAUCUUGACUACUUGAAAGAGAUCUGCAUUGGGCAACUUCCGCCUGGAUCGUUGGGGAACAUGAAGUUCUUGCAGGUGGAGCAGUGCAAUGAGCUGGUGAAUGGGCUGCUGCCGGCUAAUCUGUUGCGGAGACUAGAGAGUCUGGAAGUCCUUGAUGUGAGUGGGAGCUAUUUGGAAGACAUAUUUAGGACUGAAGGACUCAGGGAAGGAGAAGUUGUGGUGGGAAAGCUGAGAGAACUGAAACUGGAUAAUCUACCUGAACUGAAGAAUAUAUGGAAUGGCCCUACCCAGCUUGCAAUAUUCCACAAUCUGAAGAUUUUGACAGUGAUAAAGUGCAAGAAACUGAGGAAUCUAUUCACAUACAGUGUGGCUCAAAGUCUCAGAUAUCUGGAGGAGCUGUGGAUUGAGUAUUGCAAUGGUUUGGAGGGAGUUAUUGGGAUGCAUGAGGGUGGAGAUGUAGUGGAGAGGAUCAUUUUCCAGAACUUGAAGAACUUGUCCUUGCAAAAUCUUCCAGUGCUCAGAAGCUUUUAUGAAGGAGAUGCAAGAAUUGAAUGCCCAUCCUUGGAACAACUGCAUGUGCAGGGCUGCCCAACAUUUAGGAAUUACUCACCUUAUUUCCACAGUACAAACCAAUUCCAAGUAAACAAUGAACAACACUUGCUCCUCCUGCGAAAAAGGUAUGGUUUAGUAAUAAUGUUAGAUUUUUUUUUCCCCUAAAUUUUCUAACUUUUUUUUUCUUCUUAUUUCCUACUUUUUUUUUUUGUCAUAAGGUUGUGGGAGGAGAGAACUUUCCUAGAAGAAAAUUUAUGAAUCGGCGAGCAAAAGGGCAAAGGAGGUUGGAACCAUUAUGUUCAUCAAGCUGAUUUGGGUCCAGUAAAUACAUAUACAUAUAUACAUACAUAUAUAGGUGUGUGUAUAUAUUACAUACAUGCAUACAUACGUAUGUGUAUAUAUAUAUAUGUUUGUGUGUGUGUAUUAGCAAAUUUUCAAUUGGAUAUUUGCCAAUUAAGAAGUUGACGAUUGAAACUUGAGAUGCUUUAAUCCUUGAAGUGUUCUAUUCAUCACCCUUUUGGUUUUGAUUGCCAUCUCUAGUUACGCUUAUAGUGAACCUUCCCUUGAAAUAUGCUAUUAGACUCCAUAAUUUGCCUAAUUUUUCCAAAAGAUUUUAUGCAAAAAAAAAAAAAAAAAAAAAAAACCACGAGCUUUUAAGGUCCACAAGAACUCCAAAAAUUCAAAUAGAAAUAAACCAUAAGUCAAGCUCAAACCCAAAAGUUCUUUCAAGAAAUUAAACACAACUACAGAAGUAUACUAUUUUGCUCCCAUAAAUUCACUUAUAUAUCACAAAUAAAAGAUGCAGAUAUGUACAUGGAUCUAAAUACAAAUUUCAUUUCCAUCUUACAAAAUACACAAUCUCUUGAAAAAUCUCCAAAAUACAACCAUUCAAUAAAUUAAGAUCCCAACAUAGUAAAAAAGGGAACCUUCAUCCUUCCAAUUGGAACAUGUAUAUAUAUAUAUUUGGAUGCUAGCUCCCUUUUCUAUCAUUGGUUUUUUAACAUGAGCAACUUGCUAUCUUUCAGAAGGAUUCUUUCUACCUUGAGAAGUAUAUGGCUUUUACACAUAUGAAACAUAGCACAAUUAGGUAAUACACAUUCAUGACAUGAAUUGUAACAUAAUUUAAACAUCACAUAAUUAGAAGGGUGCAUUGUGGUUCUAAGGUUUUCAACUAAAGAUACUAGUCCAUGUCUAAUACACUCCUUAUUGAUCCAAACUUGAAAUCUCCUCUCUUCUCAAUUUGCCCUCUUUAGGAUCUUUUCAUCUCUCAUUUUUAUUUUAUUUCCGAUUCACACUGUCUUAUCAUUUUUUCAGUUUCACACAAUAUGAAUGCACUUAUAUGUACAAUGAUUUUUUUUGUCCUAAAAUAAUCUCAUAUCGAACACAUAAUAGACAUAUAUUCAUCUCAUGUAGCAAGUGAAUCAACAUAUUAAACAACUAUGAGUCAAUAAUCAACAUCUAGAGAGAAUAUUUUCAACAAUCAACAAUAUUAUAACUAUUAGAAAUACAUACAAAGAGAAGUAGCAACACAAGUCUAAAAUUUUUGAAAUAAAAGUUAAACAACUUCUCGAAUUUGGUUAAAGCAUGAUAAGGCAUGAUCCUUAAAGUAGUUCCAUGCUCCUAUGAGAUUGUGUCUUGGCACAAUAGGAUAACAAUGGACAUUCUACCUCCAGGAUGCAACAACCAAUGUUACUUGUAGAGGUACACUACUUUGUAGAGUAGAGAUGAUAGCUUUGGAUGCUUUACUCUUCCAAGGACUUGAGAAGAGUGGUAGAAGGAAAGAGAAAAACCACUUAAGGAUAGAGUAACAAAAAGAGCUCACAAGGCUUCAAAGGAGAGAAGCUUUGAGAUGGGAUGAAGAAAUACCUAGACUACAACUCUAUUUAUAAGCUCUCAAGAUUGGCUCAAAUAGGUAGAAUAUAUGAUUGGAGGCAUGAUUGAUCCAACUAAUUAGCUAAUUGAUUUCAACCAAUUGCUAAUUAAUUAAGCCAAUCGAGGAGGAAAUUGUUUUUUGUUGAGUCCAUUAAGACAUUUGUUGACCAAUAAAAAUGAAUUAAAUGAUUUCAAUCAAUGGCUAAUUAAGCCUAUUAAACAAUUGUUAAUCAAUCAAAAGUUUUACACAUACACUUUCCAACCAUUCCUCACAUUGUGCAUGAGUGGAGUAAUAAUAGAGGAUGACUGGAGGAAGCAUAUACUAGAAUCUAAUGAAUAAGAACAGAUGCCCUUGGGUUAUGAGCCAACCUUAGAAUAAGUAGGUUGUGAGCCAUAAAAAUAUGGUGAAAGUUAAAUCUGCAAUGAACCAGAAUUUCUUUAUGUGAGACAAGGAACCUAUUAUCCACAUUGGUUUCUCAAGUUAGAGUUGUCCAUAAUGUGUUGAUGUGAAUAGGCCAUAGAUCUUACUUGAAUAUUUAUGAGAGCUCUAUAGACCUUGCCUAAGUUCUCAUAGGAAAUGACCCAUUUCUAUACUCAUAUAGGUGAAUCUAUCAAGCAUAUCCUGCAAUUAUAAACACCACUAAUAAGUGAAAUGGUAUUCACUAAGAUAUGUACUCAUCUUCAAUCAUUGUAGAAUACACUCCACCUACACCUUAGUGAUGGAUUCUCAUAUAUAAGUAGUUGAUAGACUAUUUCAUAGUCAAUAAGUCACUUGCUAUUACUUACACGAACCUGCUUCCUUUGAUCUCUAUUAAUGUAAGUUGGGUUACUUAUGAGGACUCAAAUUCAACACUUCAAUGGGCUUUAUAGAACCUAUUUUAGUGUAUUUGGGAUACUUUUAUUGUUAGUGUCUAAGCAAGUUGCAUUUGAUUAUUUUUGUGUUUGUUUUGUAUGUUUUAGGUGCAAACUAGAUAUUAAAAUCAAUGGAACAAAGUAUUUUGAGCUUUAAUGGAGAUUGUGGGAGAGGUUUCAAGACUUGUGGUUGUUAAAGAAAGCAAGUUUAGAAAGAAGAAAUAGUUAAACAAGACCUUGUUCAAGCUUGCAUAAAUAAAUUGGCAAGGAAAAGGCUUGAACAACCUCGAGCAAGAAGAGUUUGACAAGGCGAAGCUCGAGUAAAGAAGGAAUCCUGCCUAGAAGAGGCUUAAGCAAGUAUGAGCAAAGUGAGCUACACUUAAGCCAACCAUGACCUUGCUUAUGUGGCCUCACAUAAUAGGCCAUAACAAGCAUGAACACCUCUAAGCAAGUUUGCCAGACCAGAUCUGUAGAACAAUUCAAGUAGCCAUGUAGCCUCACACAAAAAGCUUGAGCAAACAUGACCACCUUUAAGCAAGUUUGCUUGAGCAGAUUUAGAACAAUUCAGGUAGCCAUGUAGCCUCACACAAAAGGCCUGAUCGAAAAUGAACACGUUUAAGUAAACAUAUCUUAGCACACUUGGGUAAUUUCAAGUAACACUCAAACAUCCACAACUUUGUUUAGACAACUUUUAGCAAACAUUACCUAGUUUGAACAACCUUUAAGGGUACUUACUUCAAGGCAUAUGGCCACCUCUAGAGUUGACAUGUGGUAGCAAAGCGGUAAGAUACACCAACCCUAGGCUGCCAUGUGAUAACUAAAGUGGCAAAAAAAAAAAAAAAUCAUUAUUUUAGCUUUUCUAAGAAUGUAUCGACUUAUUUGGUUGAGUAUAAAAGGAAAAUUCUCAGAUUUCAAUAGUAGGAUUCCACUAUUACAGUAAGAGUAAAAGUAGGUUAGUGAAGCUAUUUCAUCGUAGGAGUAGUAGGUCAGAAAGGCUACCAAAGCUUAUGAUUUUGACUUUUAUCUUCAUUCUAUAAUUAAUAUUUUGAGUUUAUUUUUGUUUCAGAAUCUAAGCAUAGUUAACAUUUCUAGUUGAAUCUUCUAGUACAACCAUUAUUUCAAUUUGUAGUUUAUUAAUGAAAUGUUAAUUUUUUAUUUCUAGUUUUUAAAUUUGUAGUUUCAAUUUUUUAAUUUUUGAAUUUCUUCUAUCUUGAAAUUUCAAUUUUGUUCCAACUUAAUUUCUUGCUUUGCUUGUUUUAUUUAUUUAUUUUUUGUUUUCUUUUGUUUUGUGUGUAUGUGUGUGUGUGUUUUUUUUUCUAUGUUAUUGUUUUUCAAUUUCAAUAUCAAUAGUUGGAUUUCUUAAGACACUGAGAGAGUGAGGGAAGAUGAGGUAAAUCAUACAGUAUUUUAGUCCUUUAAUGUCCUAAACUGAUUGUGUUGAGGUUAUGGGAAUUCUAGAAAAGGCAUGCGUUUGCUGACUAGUUGUGAGGGCUAAAAGACAAGCAACCUUGGGAGUGGAUUUCAAUUGUGUUGAUAUGGGUUCACUUGAGCUAAACGCUAUCAUUUCAUUUUGGAUUCAUUAUAUGAACCUAAUGCCAAAAACACUGGUUUAGUAAUAUAUUUCCCCUCAACCUUAGGUCAAAAGCAUCUAGUUUAGGAGAAUGAUUUAAGCUAAGGGUGAUUUCCUUUAUGGAUCUUUGCCUUUGGUGUUUGAUUGUUUUCAUAUGUUGAUUUUGGAAAAUUUUAUUAUUUAUUUUUCAAUUUCCCUUUAUCUUUGUUAAGUUUCCUAAGUUGUCUCCACUUGCAAAGCCAUUCACUUUGAAUAACCCAUUUUUUAUAUCUCUCUGAUUGAAAUCAUUGGAUCCUUGUGGGUUGGACCCCAUACUCAUUGGGUCGGGUACUAUUUUGAAGGUUCUUAAGCUCAGUAACACCCACAAAAAUAAAAAUUUUAGUGGGUUUUAAAAGCUCUAAGGUUGUAAUCUUCUUUAAUAAUAGUGGAAGUUUUGUUUUUGUCUUCACCCAUGGAUGUAAACUUUAAGCUGAAAUAUGUAAAUCGUCAUGUGUUUUUUAUUUUUGUAUUCUUAUUUCUCUUUCUUUGUUAUUAUUCUUGGUCAUGGUUUUUCACAACAAACUGGUAUCAAAAUACAUGUUAUUAAACUUGAAAUGACAAUAGAGUUUGAGCUUGAGAAGUUAUUUAAAUUUAUGGUACGUUAAGAUGCGUGCCUUAUUGGUUUAAUUAUGAUUGUCCAAAACAUUGAAGGGUAGAGAGACCCUAUUAACAAUGAUGUAUGAUGAAGAGAAAGAUGAAUUUAUGAAGAAAACAUAUAAUGCUAUCCUGUUGUAGAAGAGGAUAGAAUUGCCAAGUUAUGGUUGAAGUUAAAAAGUCUACAUAUGACGAAAUCUUUUUCAAAUCGCUUGUAUUUGAAGAAGUUAUCCACUCUUUAAAUGAAAGAAGAUACAUCUAUUAAAGACCACAUUGAUAAAUUUAAUAAAACUAUCACGAAUUUGAUGUUAAAAUUAAUGAUGAAGAUCAAACCAUAAUUUUAAUGUAUUUCUUAUUGAAUUCUUAUAAGCACUUUAUGAAUACUAUGAUAUAUGGUAGAGAUACUCUCUUUAUAGAGGAUGUUAGAUUAACCUUGAAUUCAAAGGAGUUGAAGAAGAGGGUUUUUUGAUAGUAGAAAAGAAAACUCGGGUGAAGGUUUGGUGAUUAGAGGGAGAAAAAGAAACGUUAUUAGAAAUAUUUCCAUAAACAUUUUAGAUAGUGAAGGGAAAAGGUUAUGACAUGAAGAUGAGUUUGUAAAGAUUACACGAAAUGGAUAAAUAUGAGAGAAAGAAUGAGAGACAUAUGAUAAAACAAAGGGAUGUAUAGUUGCGGAUGUAAAUACAAAGAGUGGGAAAAUAUGUAAUGUUUCGAGAAUCUGAUAGCUGCAUAUGAUUUUUGUCAUAUGUAAUAUUCUCUAUGGUAUAACAAAAAGAUUCAUUCUCAUCCGUAGAUAUAUGUAUGGUUAGUCAAACAACGUUAAAACCUCAUGUACUUUUGUAUGAAUUAUUUUAUCUUUAUAUUUCUAAACUAAUAUUAUUUGCAUUAAAACCUCUAGGGGCAACAAUUUAGUAUUAAAACAAGUUUUUUAGUUGUAAUUUUUGUACAAAAAUUGUAUCAGCUCAAUUUUAGCUCAAACUGAAAGAAUCAAAAUAAACUAAGAAGAAUUAAUGUUGAGUCAUAUUGGAGUUUAGGUGAAUAAACAAAUUAGUUGAAUUUACUUAAAUUUGACCAGCUCAUUCGGUUCUUGGUGGAUUGAUUAAAAACCAACCAAAAUCGUAGAGUGUCAACUUUUAUUAAUCAUAGAGUUAUUAGAGACUACCAUGCUUUGUAUGCGUGGAAGGAAUCAAUAUUUUUUGCUUUGACUGGACAUCAAAUAAAACAUAAAACAUAAAAACUAACAUAGGGCCUAUUUGGUAACUAUUUUUGAAAAUAGUUUUGAAAAAUAGUUUUUGAAAAAAGUUUUGAAAAUUGUUUUAUGAUAUUUUGUAGAACAAAAAAUUGUUUAGAAAUUUAAAAUAUUUUUAACUUGUUUUAAAUUUUUUAAAAUAAUUUUUAUUUGUAGUGCUUUCAUCCUUAAUGUUUGUACAAUUAUUUUUUAAAACAAUUAUCAUAAAAUAAGUGAAAAUAACUAAAAUAUGUUAUCUGAAAAUACCAAAUUUUCUAUUUUAAAAGACACAACAUAGAGAACAGUUUUUGGUUACUAUAACAUGUUUUCUAGGUUUUUUGUUUUGAAGAAUAAAAAACUGUUACCAAACAAGGUCAUAAUAUCUUGUUUGAUUUAUCAAGAAAAGCUUAGACAAAAAUCAAAUCAAAUAAAAGUAAUUUAAAAAUUCAUAUAUUUUUAAAUUAUACAUUACCUAAAUAAAAAAAAAAAAGAGAAAAAAAUUGGAAAAAUAUAGAAUAAAGAUUUAUUGGGUUUAAACUGACAUAUCAGUUUCCCUCAUCUUUCUUAAAUUUUCUAAUAUCCAAAUGGAAUACAAAUGAAAUCCAUUGAUGAGAGAAUGACAUGACUCUAGGCAACUAAAAGAAUGCUACUUAGACUGUGUUUAAAACCUUUUAGAAUUACUUUUAUGGACAAUUUGUGGAUACUGAAAAGUUGUAAGUAUUUUUGGAAGGAAAUAACUUCAAAGCAGUUUUUUUAUUUUUAUUUUUUUACGAAAGUUAAACGUUAAAAAUCUAAAGAAUGAUUUAAAAUAACUUUUGAACUAAUGUUUGGCAAGUGAUUUUUCCUUUUUAUUUUAUUUUAUUUAUUUUGGGAUUCCAUUACAUAAUGGAAGUGCUUUGAAAACAUUUUUUAUUGCAAGUGUUAGGAGCUAAAUGUACUGUCACAAGAAUCACUCCCAAGUCCAAUAGACCUCAUUGAUCUAAUGUAUGAUUUUUCAGAAUGGAGAAAUGAUGAAUACCUUGGAUCAGAAUUCCAUUUCUGCGAAUUUGAAAGGCAACCCUAAUUAGUAGCCAACAAAGGCUGAGCCAAUCCAUUGAAACAAUCAGCAGUAGUCUCUUGCUCAUCAGCUUCUCUCUGCUCUCAGCCAUUGACGGAAUGGAAGCUUGUCCUUAACCUUACUGUCUUCAAUUUAGUUGGGUUGCUAUGCCUCCAAUGGGAAAGCUUCACGGAAAGGUCUUUUCACAUGGCUCUUCUUUUGACCAACCGCCUUUUCAAAACUGCAAAAAAUUUCGCCCAUCUUUACUUCAGUACAUGGUCCAUAUAUGACAAAGAAUAUACAAGGCUCCAUUAUUGGCUACAGAGUGGAGACCCCAAUCAUCGCGUCAAGUUGCUCUCGAGUAAAACAAUGACAGCCCAUUUGUCGCUGGAUUCCAUGUGUGGAGAGUUUGAACCCAUUCCACCCUCCAUGUGAUAGCCACCAACCCUACUAGAAAGUUAUCGUCAAGAGACAGUGAACUGGAGCUGGACGGUGGUGCAAUAGGAUAAAAGGCGGCUUUCUUCAAACUUCAGAUUCUUCAAGGUUAUAAUCUCAUCACCAUAAUCAUUAAUUACCACUUGGCGCUUAAUUUUGAUUUAUUGUUUGUUCUAGUCUUUCUGUAUUUCUCUUAAUUUUGUUUGGUGUCUGGGAUAAUUGUAUUUGUAGAAACAGCUGAGCGCUAAACCUUUGGAGUUGAGAUCAAAAUUCAACCUUAAACUACCCUUUUUGUGGAGGGAAGAAGGUGAGAUAUGGCUUUGGAGAUUGCGAGUUUCGUUAUCCAGGUUGGGGAGAGGCUGUGGUCUUCAGCGACUGGUCCAGUGAGUAAUCUGGUGAACUAUAGGAAAAAUAUAAAGAAUCUCAAUGAUGAAGUUGAGAAGCUAGAGAUUAUCAGAAGCGAUAAUCGACUUUCUGCGAGCGCCGCCCAGAUGAAUGGAGAAGAAAUCAAAGGCGAGGUUCAGAUGUGGCUGAACAAAUCUGACGCUGUCCUAAGAGGGGUUGAGAGAUUGAAUGGUGAAGUCGACAUGAACAGGACAUGCUUCGGUGGGUGCUGUCCUGAUUGGAUAUCGCGUUACAAGUUAAGCAAGCAAGCCAAGAAAGAUGCACAUACUGUUAGGGAGCUCCAAGGGACGGGAAGAUUUGAAAGGGUUUCGCUCCCAGGGCGACGGCAACUGGGAAUCGAGUCGACGCUGUCAUUGGGGGAUUUUCAGGCAUUUGAAUCGACCAAAAGGGCGAUGGAUGAGGUCAUGGUGGCCUUGAAAGAAGAUCGGGUGAAUAUUAUUGGGGUCUAUGGAAUGGGGGGUGUGGGCAAAACAACCAUGGUGAAACAGGUGGGUGCAAAUGCUCACAGAGAUGGGCUGUUUCAGCAUGUUGCAAUGGCUGUGAUAUCCCAGAAUCCGGAUUUGAGGAAAAUUCAAGCCCAAAUUGCAGAUAUGUUGAACUUGAAGCUAGAAGAGGAGAGUGAAGCUGGGAGGGCAGCAAGGUUGAGGGAGAGGAUAAUGAGAGGCAAGAGUGUUCUCAUAAUCUUAGAUGACAUAUGGAGAAGAAUUGACUUAUCUGAGAUAGGAAUUCCCAGUACUGGCAGUGACCUUGAUGCCUGCAAAUCCAAAAUCUUACUGACCACAAGGCUUGAAAAUGUGUGUCAUGUCAUGGAAAGCCAAGCAAAAGUCCCUCUGAAUAUUCUGUCUGAACAGGAUUCUUGGACCUUGUUUGGGAGGAAAGCAGGGAGAAUCGUGGAUUCUCCUGAUUUUCAUAAUGUAGCACAGAAGAUUGUCAAAGAAUGUGGAGGCCUCCCAAUUGCUCUGGUGGUUGUUGCUAGAGCAUUAGGCGAUAAGGACUUGGAUGAAUGGAAAGAAGCUGCAAGACAACUAGAAAUGUCCAAGCCAACAAACCUUGAUGAUGAUGGGGGUGUUUUCAAAUGUAUAAAACUGAGCUAUGACUAUUUGAAAGGCAAUAGCACCAAACCAUGUUUUCUGAUUUGUUGUUUGUUUCCAGAGGACACGGACAUCAGCAUCGAAGACUUGGUGAAGUACGGAUUGGGGCAAGGGCUGUUUCAAGAGGCCAACACAAUCGAAGAGGCAAGAGGCAGAGCACGUUCUGUUGUCAAGUACCUCAAGGCUUGCAGUCUGUUGUUGGACAGCACAGAGGAGGGCGGUGUGAAAAUGCAUGACGUUGUCCGCGAUAUGGCUAUACUACUCGCAUCAUCUGAAGAAGAUAAUGCCUUUAUGGUGCAAUCUGGUAGCGCCUUAAAAGAGUGGCCGACAAAGGACAGCUAUGAAGCCUACACAGCCAUCUCACUCAUGUCCAACGAAAUCGAGGAGCUCCCUGAUGGACUAGUAUGCCCAAAGCUCCAGACAUUGUUAUUACAGAAUAACAAUGAUAUACAAGAGAUCCCAGAUGACUUUUUUGGAAGCUUCCACUCCCUGAGAGUCUUAGACCUCAAUGGUGCUGACAUCCCAUCACUACCCCCUUCGCUUGGACUCCUGAGAAGCCUUAGGACGCUAUGCCUAGACUGCUGCCAGUCAAUAACAGACAUAUCCAUACUGGGGAAAUUGGAGAAGCUUGAGAUUCUUAGUCUCAGAGAAUCCUACAUUGAGGAUUUGCCAGAAGAACUGGCCCAGCUGGCCAAUCUGAGGAUGCUGGAUUUCACUAUGAGUAAUAACAUCAAAUCAAUUCCUCCUAAAGUGAUAUCAAGCUUGUCCAGGUUAGAAGAGAUGUACAUGCAGGGUAGCUUCGCAGACUGGGGUCUGCUGCUUGAAGGAACAUCAUCAGGAGCCAACGCCGGUUUUGAUGAGCUAACGUGCUUGCAUCGCUUAAAUAUCUUGAAGGUAGACAUCUCUGAUGCUGAGUGCAUGCCUAAAACUGUGAGGUUUGAUCCAAACUGGGUAAACUUUGAUAUAUGCAUAAACAGGAAGCUGUUCAACCGGUUCAUGAAUGUGCAUCUGUCAAGAGUUACAGCUGCUCGAUCAAGAUCCCUGAUUCUCGAUGUCACCAUCAAUACCUUGCCAGACUGGUUCAACAAAGUGGCCACUGAAAGAACCGAGAAACUAUACUACAUAAAAUGCAGGGGUCUAGACAACAUUCUUAUGGAAUAUGAUCAAGGAAGCCUAAAUGGCCUCAAGAUCCUCCUUGUCCAGAGUUGCC
rnacentral:lncRNA from 1 species